UUUCCGAAAAUGGCAUCCGGUAGCCAUGUGGAUGUCAAUGAAAGGCGACUUCGGCCGAUUUACGAUUGUUUGGACAAUGGGAACAAUAAAAAAGCGAUCCAAGAAGCAGAGAAAGCCCUGAAGAAACACAAAGACUUCCAAUGUGCCAAAGUUUUGAAAGCGCUGGCUCUACUACGGCUUGGUCGUCAUGAUGAGAGCUCAGUUAUCCUAGACGAAAUCCACUCGCAACAUCCAACCGACGAAGCUACAUUGCAGGUUGUAUUUUAGUAAAGCUUACUUGCGAUUUUUUGCAUUAGAAAAAAAAAUGUAUACACAUUACAUAUAAGAAUGGAGUUCAAAAUCAGUAAUAUACUGAAUAUAGGGGAGACAAUUUAUUUGUGACCGUCAGACACUCACAGAUCUUACCAAUAAAAGCGGGAGAUAACUCAGUGGGUAGAGCACCUGACUAGAGAUUAAGGGGGCCCGGAUUCUAAAUUAGUCUAGUCACUCAAUAUUUCUUCUAUUCCAUUACAUUUGAUGCCGGGCAAAUUGGACCCCUGGAACUGACAGGUUAACUCCUGCCUGGGGAAAGAGCCUGGGUAAACUUUGAUGGUGAAGAUUGUUUAAGGUGGGAGGAAUCUGACGGUCAGACUGGAUCGAAUGCUGUUGCCAGAUAGUUGGGUAGAGAAUCUAAUCAGAGAUUCAGGGAGUUCUGGUUUGAAUUCUGGCGAUGGCAAUUUGCUACCGAGAAGUCUACAAACUGGAAGCCAUAGCAGACUUGUAUGAAAAUGCCCGAAAAAAUUGUCCAGACAAUGAAGAUAUUCUAUCUGCCUUGUUCAUGGCUUAUGUCCGCCUAGGCGAUUACAAAAAGCAGCAGCAGACGGCCAUGUUGCUUCAUCGACUGCAGCCCAAUAAAAAUCCGUGCUACUUCUGGGCGGUAAUGAGCAUUGUUAUGCAGAGUCAGAGCAGUGAUGAUGAGAAGCUAGCCAAAGGAAUGUUCCUCCCUCUAGCAGAGAGGAUGGUCAAGAAAUAUGUAGAUGAGAAGAAAAUCAAUGCGGAGGAAGAAGUGCAGAUGUACUUGAUCAUUCUGAAUCUAAUGGGAAAGUGGAAGGAGGCAUAUGAAGUAGUAACUGGACCUCUCGGAGAAAAAUUAACAAGCGAGACUUUCUACAAGGAAAGGAAAGCAGCAGAGUUAUUCUCAAAAAUGAACAACUGGCCAGAAGCAAAUGCAAAGUUCAAGUUUUUACUCAAAGAAAAUCCAGAUCAUUGGCAGUAUUGGAAAGACUAUAUUAGUUCUUGCAUAAAAAUAGCAAAAUCGAAUUGGCAGCCACAGGAUGAUGGAAAUAACUGUGAAACUGAUUAUACCAUUGACAUGGCCUCUCUAUUCAUGGAUCAAACCAUCAGUGUGUGUUCAGGAGACAGAUUACUGAGAGGCCCAUAUCUAGCUCAACUGGAACUAAUUAAGGCUCUUAGAGAAACUGGUGAUUUGUCUGUGAAAAACCUAGGAUCUCCCUUAACACUUCUUCAAGAUUACUUCAAACUUUUUGGUGACAAAAAUUGUUGUUAUGAAGACAUGAAACUGUUUACAAAUCUUAUAUCAAAACCACAACAGAAGGAUUUGAUCGACUCCUUCACAAAAACCUUGGAACUGCACAAUUCUGAUGGCAGUAUUUUUUUUGCACCUGAUGUUAAAGCUAUGCAACGUCACUUGACUGUCUUGCAGUUGGCAAGGUACCUUGGGAUCCAAGAUUCCAUGUCUGUAGAAGAAAAGAUCUCUCUAGCUAGGGAGUGCAUUCAAAGGUACCAACAUGGAUUAGAGUUUGGCAAAGAUCUCCUCAUCACCGAUAUUCAGCUCUCUGACAAUUUUAUGCUAAUGGCUGCUCAUCUGUUGGAAGAGGCAUGGGAGGAAACAGAAAGUCAACAGCACCUAGUGGAAGCUAUUGUUCAUCUUCAGAAAGGCUCCAAAAACUGCCCAGCCAACUUCCAGUUCAAGGUGAUGCUUAUCCACUUGUUUUCUGUACUAGGUGCUUAUGGACCUUGCCAACAAUUGUAUGAUAGUCUGGAAGUGAAGCAUAUCAUGAAUGAUACUCUGGGCUACAUCAUUUCCAACCACAUGGUAAGACUGGGUCACUUUGCUGCUGCUGGUGCAAACUAUGGAAGCAUGCUGAAAUUCUUUGCAGUGAACCACAAAGAGACUGCAGAGUAUCUCAUUGCUGCAUACAAAUAUGGAUCCUUUAAUAAGAUUUUUGAGUUUGUACGAUUCAGAGAAAAGUUGCAGAAUUCCCUUCAAUAUGCCUGUGCAAAAGUGGAGAGCAUGCUUCUGGACCUAAUGUUGGAAACCUCUCACCAUCAGAGUGUGGAACAAAUGGUGACUCACAUGGAGAUAGAUCCCUCAGAAGAUGGGGCACCUGCUGUGGAGUUUGGGAAACUCUGUGAUAAUCGCGACCUGAGAAUUCUAGAGGCUUGGGAAAAAGAAACCUAUGACACGAAGGCAGCGAGUGAUUUCUCAUUCCAAGAGGAGAAAGCUUGGUUGAGGAUCAGAAGUUUGACUUUAAGAAUUCUUGCUUGUGCUGUUAGUCUAGGUCAACAAGUUUCAAAUUCAAAGGCCUUGAGAAAUGGGGUUGGGUCAGAGAAAAAAGCUUUAAAUGAAAUUCUAGAGUCGCUAGGAAAGGAACUUUCUGAACAUAUUCAAGAAUAUGAAAAGAAAUUUAAUGUUGCCUACAAGUAUUCCCUACGUGGCCCAAGUCCAACACGGAUAGCAAAGUACCUUUCAGAUGGACAUCAUCAAGUCAUAUGCUCAAUGAUUGAAACAAUUUUACACCUGUUCAAAAUGCAAUCAGAAGAUUUAGAGGGUUCAGAGAAUGAGAAACAGGAAUCACCUUCUCAGAAAGUCCCAGAAAUCCUAGCGGGACUGUUGGUUAAAUACAAAGGGAGCCUGCUGUUAGAGACUGAUGGGAAGAAAUCCAUUAACGCUGCUGUCAUUGAAAACCUCUCUCUACUGGCAGAGACCAUGUCACAUUCAGCCAUCUUGACUGGGGUCUGCCACAGAAUCCUUAAACCACUCAAAACCUCCUGGAACAAAAGAUGUCGUAAGAUGAAGGCAGAAACCCCUCCGCCCCAGCCAGCCGUCUUCUCGAACUUCACAAAGCUCAUUGCGAGUUUUGAUGCCUGUGCCAAAGAUAUGCAUGUGGCCACACGUGAUCUUGAUCCUGUGCUGUUAUCUAUUGACCUCAGCAGUCUUAGUUUAGACGAGUCAGAAGAAAGUGACUCUUUGCAAGAUGCAAUGAUUCAGACUGAUGUGCUGAAGAACAUUGAGAGUAGUUAUCAGACUACAUCUCGAGAAGUGUGUGAACUUAUUCAUAACAAAUUACAAUAUUUCAAUAGUUUAAAACUGUAAAUUACUGGACAUUAUUUUACUGUAAAUGGUUCAAUCAAGUUUGCAUAAAAAUCAUGUAAAUCCUAUUAAACCGGCUUCCUAAUUUCUGAAAUUU
rnacentral:misc_RNA from 1 species